rnacentral:miRNA from 1 species
AGCCUCAAUAGCCGCGUCACCUCUCCAGCCGGGAGAGGGUCGCGGGGGGCUGCUUUAGCCCCGCGCGCGCUCUCCCGGCUGGAGAGGUGACGCGGGGCU